CAGAGAAUUAGAUAGUUGGAUGGCAUCACUGACUCAAUGGACAUGAGUUUGAGCAAACUCUAGGAGAUGAUGAAGGACAGGGAAGCCUGGUCUGCUGCAGUCCAUGGGGUUGCAAAGAGUCAGACGCGACUGAGCAACUGAACAACGACAAAACACAGUAAACUAUGGAUUUCUUAGUGUGGUCCAUCCUGUCCUGGGGGAUCCUAGACCUGAUGACUUCCCAAGGAAGCUCCAGGCCGCAGAUGGUAGUUUAACACAUGAACUUCUGGUCAAGCAGAGAAGCUGCAAGAGGACGAGGGCUUUGCCUGCUCACUGCUGCACCCUUAGAGCCAAAAACAUUUGUGAAAG
ensembl:lncRNA